AGGACGAAACGCUGGCGGCGUGCUUAACACAUGCAAGUCGAGCGGUGAUCCUCCUUCGGGAGGUGAUCAGCGGCGAACGGGUGAGUAACACGUGGGCAACCUGCCCCUCACACUGGGAUAAACCUCGGGAAAACCGGGGCUAAUACCGGAUACGACCUCGAGCGGCAUCUCUUGAGGUGGAAAGCUCCGACGGUGAGGGAUGGGCCCGCGGCCUAUCAGCUUGUUGGUGGGGUAAUGGCCUACCAAGGCGACGACGGGUA
rnacentral:rRNA from 1 species